UACGUAGGGUGCAAGCGUUGUCCGGAAUUAUUGGGCGUAAAGAGUUCGUAGGCGGCUUGUCGCGUCGUUCGUGAAAACCCGGGGCUCAACUCCGGGCUUGCGGGCGAUACGGGCAGGCUGAGAGUUCGGUAGGGGAGACUGGAAUUCCCGGGUGUAGCGGUGCGAAAUGCGCCAGGAGUAAUCGGGAAGAACGACCCGUGGCGCAAGGCGGGC
rnacentral:rRNA from 1 species